AUUGAACGCUGGCGGCAUGCUUUACACAUGCAAGUCGAACGAGUGGCGAACGGGUGAGUAAUAUAUCGGAACGUCCCGAGUAAUGGGGGAUAACCUAUCGAAAGAUUGUCUAAUACCGCAUAUUAUUCGAGCUGCCGAUAACUGAUUAGCUAGUUGGUGGGGUAAAGGCCUACAAAGGCGACGAUCAGUAGCGGGUCUGAGAGGACGAUCCGCCCGACUGGGACUGAGAGACGGCCCAUACGCCUAAGAGAGGCAGCAGUGGGGAAUUUUGGACAAUGGGGGCAACCCUGAUCAAGCCAUGCCGCGUGUAGGAAGAAGGCCUUCGGGUUGUAAAGUACUUUUGUUAGGGAAGCGGUACCUAAAGAAUAAGCACCGGCUAACUACGUGCCAGCAGCCGCGGUAAUAC
rnacentral:rRNA from 1 species